rnacentral:lncRNA from 1 species
ACGGGGAUAGAGGGGACACCGGGACGGAGGGGACAGCAGGACAGAGGGACACCGGGACAGAGGGGACACGGGGACGGGGACAGAGGGACAGGGGAGACAGAGGGAACACCGGGACAGAGGGACGGAGGGGACAGGGAUGGGGACAGGGACAGGGGGGACAGGAGGGACAGAGGGGAGAGGGACAGAGAUGGGGAUGGGGACAGGAAUAGGGACAGACAGGAUAGGGACAGAGGGGACAGGGAUGGGGACAGGGGAGAGGGGCAGGGAUGGGGACAGGGAUGGGGACAGAAUUGGGGACAGAGGGAACACAGGACAGGGACGGGGGGACAACGACAGGGAUGGGGACAGCAUGUCAGGAGACAGCAGAGGGACAUUGGGGACAUCGCAGGGAUCGACACCUGUGGUUUCUUGCUGGCGGCACUUGUCACACCUGGGGCUGAUCCCGCUGUCCCCCCGGGUGUCCCUGGCUGUCCCCAGGUGUCCCUCAGGUGUCCCUGGCUGUCCCCAGGUGUCCCCAUGUCCCUCACCUGGGAUUUCUCCACCGAGGCGCUGUGCUUGUCGCACAUGGGGCUGAUCUCCCAUUGUCCCCAGGUGUCCCUGGCUGUCCCCAGAUGUCCCCAGGUGUCCCUCAGGUGUCCCCAGGUGUCCCCAUGUCCCUCACCUGGGAUUUCUCCACCGAGGCGCUGUGCUUGUCGCACAUGGGGCUGAUCUCCAUGCCGCGCUCGCGCUCCCGGUCGCCCUGCCUGAAGAACUCCUCCAUGAUCCGCUCCGUCCACUGCCGGUAGAGCCCCAGCGGCUUCGUGGGGUUGC